rnacentral:misc_RNA from 1 species
GAAUAGCAGUGGCAUAAUAUUCCCUUGUACUCCAGGAGAAUUCAUCAGGCAGUUCUUUAACUAUAGAAAUGUCAUCCUUCAACACAUUAAUAAAGUGAUCGACAUUGAAUAUAUCCAUGAAUGAACUUGAAUCUUGCCAAACAGGAUUGAUUUCAAAAUGUGGGAUGACAAGUGUUGCAUUCAGUAUUUUAGCAACUGCCACUGCAUCACAUAUCCCCAUUCUCUGCUGGUUCAACCCUCCAUCAAGAAAAACUUGAAGAUAUCCCUCAGAUUUUGCUGGCAACGCUGAAGGGGCAUUUGUAGAUUCAACACAUGGCCUCCAUCCUUGAUCGGCUAAAGGAACCCAGAGAUCAGAAUGCUUUUCGUGCGUACUCUCACGCUGCAGAGCACUCUUCAGCAGAGCCAAGUGCCUAGGUUUUGGGACAUUCCAUUCCGAGAAGGUAGAAGGGGAGGCAUGGCUCAAUGGGCUAAACAAAACAGGCAAGAGAAGAGGUAAAAGCAGCACCAGAAGUCCAGCUAAAGCUCCUCUUUUCUGGAGCAUCAUGAUCCCCAGUUAAACUAAAACCUCAAAACUCACCAAUCAGAUCCCAAAACUGGGUUUCUGUGCUCUGGGUGCUUCUCUUCUUUCUUCGCCCGUGAUAUUUAGACAAGAAAAGCAAAAAAGAAAUAUCAAUGGAGGACAAGAGAAACAGCGGCUCGGCUUAUCACAUGUUAGGAUUCCAGGGUCUAUAAAUCACUCUUUUUUUGACCUUCCUGGAGGUCUGUGAAAAGAAAGGAAGAGUUAAAGCAUCUCACAUGACACCCGUACAAAGAGAGAAGUGGCUUGUUUAUGGAGGAUGGUGUCCCUUUCAGGGGCCCAGAAACAAAAAAGCAGUGUUUUUUAGAGUGCUGAUUGCAGUAUUUGUGCCUUUAACCUCUGUUUAGGUGUUGGGUAUUUUUCUAAUUAUUCUCAGCACUCAAAAGAAUGGAACUUUUUGUAGAGAGGACUGUUGAGGUGGUUUUUCCUGCUUCCAUUGAUUACCCCUUUAAUCACCAGUCACCACCGACACACUAUCACCAUUUAGUGCCAGCUGCAGGCUUCAAGCUGUAUUAUUUUAUUACAAGGCAAGCUGUGGCUGUUGCUGCGGAAGAUACCAUUCAUGAUUCUGGGCCCCACCUGUUAUUGGAUGCUAUUACCCUUGCUCUUCCUCUUCUUCUCCUUCUCUUGAUACAUCUCCCUCGUCCUCUUCUCUGGCCAAGCCUGACAAUUAACCAUACGGAUCCGAGUUAUCACCUAUCAUUAAAAUCUUGUGGCCCAUUCAUCUU